rnacentral:rRNA from 1 species
CUCUAUUGGAGAGUUUGAUCCUGGCUCAGGACGAACGCUGGCGGCAUGCCUAAUACAUGCAAGUCGAGCGGAGUUAUUUUGGAAGCUUGCUUCCAAAAUAACUUAGCGGCGGACGGGUGA